rnacentral:tRNA from 1 species
AAGAUUUUAAGUUAAAAAAACUAAUAGCCUUCAAAGCUUUCAAUAAAAAUAAAUUUUUAAAUCUUA